rnacentral:rRNA from 1 species
UCCGUAGGCGGAUUAAUCAGUCAGUGGCGAAAUCUCAUAGCUUAACUAUGAAACUGCCAUUGAUACUGUUAGUCUUGAGUGAUGUUGAAGUUGCUGGAAUGUGUAGUGUAGCGGUGAAAUGCUUAGAUAUUACGCAGAACACCAAUUGCGAAGGCAGGUGACUAAACAUCAACUGAGCUGAUGGACGAAAGCGUGGGGAGCGAACA